rnacentral:rRNA from 1 species
UCAUCUCCGGGGGUAGAGCACUGUUUCGGCUAGGGGGCCAUCCCGGCUUACCAACCCGAUGCAAACUGCGAAUACCGGAGAAUGUUAUCACGGGAGACACACGGCGGGUGCUAACGUCCGUCGUGAAGAGGGAAACAACCCAGACCGCCAGCUAAGGUCCCAAAGUCAUGGUUAAGUGGGAAACGAUGUGGGAAGGCCCAGACAGCCAGGAUGUUGGCUUAGAAGCAGCCAUCAUUUAAAGAAAGCGUAAUAGCUCACUGGUCGAGUCGGCCUGCGCGGAAGAUGUAACGGGGCUAAACCAUGCACCGAAGCUGCGGCAGCGACACUCAGGUGUUGUUGGGUAGGGGAGCGUUCUGUAAGCCUGUGAAGGUGGCCUGUGAGGGUUGCUGGAGGUAUCAGAAGUGCGAAUGCUGACAUAAGUAACGAUAAAGCGGGUGAAAAGCCCGCUCGCCGGAAGACCAAGGGUUCCUGUCCAACGUUAAUCGGGGCAGGGUGAGUCGACCCCUAAGGCGAGGCCGAAAGGCGUAGUCGAUGGGAAACGGGUUAAUAUUCCCGUACUUGGUGUUACUGCGAAGGGGGGACGGAGAAGGCUAUGUUGGCCGGGCGACGGUUGUCCCGGUUUAAGCGUGUAGGUGUGUGUUCCAGGUAAAUCCGGUUCACUUUAACACUGAGGCGUGAUGACGAGGCACUACGGUGCUGAAGCAACAAAUGCCCUGCUUCCAGGAAAAGCCUCUAAGCAUCAGGUAACAUCAAAUCGUACCCCAAACCGACACAGGUGGUCAGGUAGAGAAUACCAAGGCGCUUGAGAGAACUCGGGUGAAGGAACUAGGCAAAAUGGUGCCGUAACUUCGGGAGAAGGCACGCUGACACGUAGGUGAAGUGAUUUACUCAUGGAGCUGAAGUCAGUCGAAGAUACCAGCUGGCUGCAACUGUUUAUUAAAAACACAGCACUGUGCAAACACGAAAGUGGACGUAUACGGUGUGACGCCUGCCCGGUGCCGGAAGGUUAAUUGAUGGGGUCAGCGCAAGCGAAGCUCCUGAUCGAAGCCCCGGUAAACGGCGGCCGUAACUAUAACGGUCCUAAGGUAGCGAAAUUCCUUGUCGGGUAAGUUCCGACCUGCACGAAUGGCGUAAUGAUGGCCAGGCUGUCUCCACCCGAGACUCAGUGAAAUUGAACUCGCUGUGAAGAUGCAGUGUACCCGCGGCAAGACGGAAAGACCCCGUGAACCUUUACUAUAGCUUGACACUGAACAUUGAGCCUUGAUGUGUAGGAUAGGUGGGAGGCUUUGAAGUGUGG